rnacentral:sRNA from 1 species
GGGAGCAAUCAGACCUUCCAGCUGCCUCUCAUGUACUUGUCUGUUGGGGGCUUGUGUUGAUCAGGAGUGAAUUCACAGUCUACCAUGAAUUGGAAGGUUCUUGAGCACGUGCCCCUGCUGCUGUAUAUCUUGGCAGCAAAAACAUUAAUUCUCUGCCUGACAUUUGCUGGGGUGAAAAUGUACCAAAGAAAAAGGUUGGAGGCAAAACAACAAAAACUGGAGGCUGAAAGGAAGAAGCAAUCAGAGAAAAAAGAUAACUGAAGGUCCUAACUGGGACCACCUACUCCCCUUGGAGGGUCCGGAUGGAGUUUCCCCUCUGCGGCUGCCUCUCACUCAUCCUCCACCGCUUUGCUGACAAGGAAGGAAGGACAAUUGGGAGGAGGGAGUCUUGCUUGGCGACCAUCUGGACAAUAUCUCGCCCAUGGCAAGCUGGAUCCCUGUGGAUUACUUUGCCUCUGCCAAGCCAAGCAGCCAGCUCCUAGGACUCCCCUCCCUCCACCUGAGGCUCCUUGUCCUCCCUUCCUCAGGAGUCUCCAGCCUCCCGGGGCUUCCCCUCCCCGCUGCCCACUCCAGCAGAGGCUGCCAACGGCCUGGGAGAGAGAAGUGGGCUUCCUGGGGCCACCUCCCCAACUUUGGAGUGUUCGGAAGGUGAUGGAGCGACCACUAGGAGGCAGUGUGGACAGGUCUCUGUAGGACUGCUCAGGCAGACACCUUUGCAGGGACCUCCCAGGUCGGGAGCCCUACACACUUUUCCCAUGGCAGCUUCUCCCUCCACCCCGAGUCACUACUAUCUGCUUUCCUAGAAGGCACUUCUUUACUUCUAAUUCUUCUCCACUGCCCAGCUCCUGGUUUGUUAAGGCAAACCCCCAUCUCUGGCUUCUCCUGGAACCUCACCUGGGAAAGAAGGAGGCAGCCCCGGAGCUGGAAGCUGCUUCAGGGCUCACCCGGAACAGCAGACUCAACCUGGACCCAUCCAGGCAUCUCCUGGGAGCUUCACGCAAUUGCUUCUGCCUGGCACCAGCUCAGAGG